rnacentral:rRNA from 1 species
GACGAACGCUGGCGGCGUGCUUAACACAUGCAAGUCGAACGGAAAGGCCCUGCUUUUGUGGGGUGCUCGAGUGGCGAACGGGUGAGUAACACGUGAGUAACCUGCCCUUGACUUUGGGAUAACUUCAGGAAACUGGGGCUAAUACCGGAUAGGAGCUCCUGCUGCAUGGUGGGGGUUGGUAAGUUUCGGCGGUUGGGGAUGGACUCGCGGCUUAUCAGCUUGUUGGUGGGGUAGUGGCUUACCAAGGCUUUGACGGGUAGCCGGCCUGAGAGGGUGACCGGCCACAUUGGGACUGAGAUACGGCCCAGACUCCUACGGGAGGCAGCAGUGGGGAAUAUUGCACAAUGGGCGGAAGCCUGAUGCAGCAACGCCGCGUGCGGGAUGACGGCCUUCGGGUUGUAAACCGCCUUCGCCUGUGACGAAGCGUGAGUGACGGUAAUGGGUAAAGAAGCACCGGCUAACUACGUG